GACCGGAGUGGACGCAUCACUGGUGUUCGGGUUGUCAUGCCAAUGGCACUGCCCGGUAGCUAAAUGCGGAAGAGAUAAGUGCUGAAAGCAUCUAAGCACGAAACUUGCCCCGAGAUGAGUUCUCCCUGAGACUUUAAGUCUCCUGAAGGAACGUUGAAGACGACGACGUUGAUAGGUCGGGUGUGUAAGCGCAGCGAUGCGUUGAGCUAACCGAUACUAAUGAACCGUGAGGCUUAACCUU
rnacentral:rRNA from 1 species